GACAGAGGUGCCAAGCGUUAGGCGGAAUCACUGGGCUUAAAGCGUGUGUAGGCGGAUCGUUAAGUACCUUGUGAAAUCCCACGGCUCAACCGUGGAACUGCUCGGUAUACUGGCGGUCUUGAGCCACCUAGGGGCAACUGGAACAAACGGUGGAGCGGUGAAAUGCGUAGAUAUCGUUUGGAACGCCAAUGGUGAAAACAGGUUGCUGGGAGUGUGCUGACGCUGAGACACGAAAGCCAGGGGGAGCGAACGGGG
rnacentral:rRNA from 1 species